CGUCUAUGCCAUUCCACCCUGAACACACCACGUCUCAUCUGAUCUCAGAAGCUAAGCAGGGUCAGGUCUGAUUAGUACUUGAAUGAAAGACAUACAUUGAUAC
rfam:Erinaceus europaeus unplaced genomic scaffold scaffold00037, whole genome shotgun sequence